UAGCAUCUCACAGUUCUCUGGCUCUCGC
rnacentral:piRNA from 1 species